rnacentral:lncRNA from 1 species
CCGUUGGACAGGUGCGGCACGUCGAUCAGAUCAAUUUCUGUUAAACAUUAAAAAUAUUGGUUUAUUUAAAUGCCUGAUUCUGUAUAUUUGUUGUGUUUACAUCUAUGGAAAAGCUUGUGGAAAUGUUGAGUAAGAAAUGGACACGCCACUUACCCUUCAGGCUCUUGGCGUCAGUGCGGGAGGCGGCAACGAUACCCCCGACAGAGGUGCUGCCCAUGAUUGCCGCCACCCGCUGCUCAAAUCGCUUGAGAUGCCCCUCUCCCUGACCCCCACCUGUCUGGCCGGCACUCCUCCGGAGGACAGCUGUACGCCGCUUGACCUCCACCUUGAGGUCCAACCGUUUAUUUUUAAUGUCCGCGGGGGUGCGUUGCUCUGAACCCACCGCGUUCACCCUCUCGCACACCUUCUCCCACUCACAAUGUUUUUUUUUUUCUUGUACUGACGCCACUCGACAGGCUGCUGAACAAAAUACUCCGCCUCUUCUCCACCUCCAGCUCGCACGCCGUGAACUGUCUUGGACAUUGUAAUUAAAUAUGCAUCACAUUUGCAUAUUUAUAGGUGGGCGUAAAGGGGGCGGAUCCGGUCACUCAAUUCCUCGCUGAUUGUAGUGUAUCAAGGAAACGUGCGUGGAUUCCGGCGCUCGCACAUCCACAUUUUGUCCUGCAGUCACAACUUUCGUGAUUCUUGCGACCACCGAUUUUUAGUAUGAGAUCCACGCAGGUAUCGAUACAUGAGGCCCCUGAUUCGUUUGGCUCUAACUCUCCAUAUUUAAUGUAAUUCAUGUUUCCCCUGGUUACCAAAGUUUCUCUGGUUAUAGUUUUAUCUCUGUCAAAGUUUUUUAAACUCUUUACAGGGUUAGCCAAAGAAAUUGGUUCCCCGAGGGAGGAAAAUGAGCCCUGAUGUCUCCAGCUGAGCAGAACAAAUGGAGCAGAGAGGAGGCGACCAGGACCAGAUACAUCCUUCAUACUGAGGGGAAAGUUUCUGGUACAAAUUUCUGCACCAGCUGAAAAAUGCGGCUGUGCCAGAUAAAACAAUGACUUUAAAAUUGGGAUACUCUGUCUUAUUAUUGUAGAAGAUACCUGAAGAGAGUCUCUGUCCUAUAUGGAGGUCAGUGUUGUUUUUGGCAGGCAUUUUAGAUUUAGUUUUAGUCUUAGUCAUUUUGACGAAAUGCUUCUUCGUUUUAGUCCCAUUUUAGUCAUUUCUAUCCUUGAUAGUUUUCGUCUAGUUUUAGUCCGACGAAAACUCAAAAGGUUUUAGUCUAGUUUUAGUCGACGAAAAGGUGCGUUUUGAAGUUCGUGGUGUUCUUUCUCGACAGUUUGAAGCUGCAGCAUGAGGAAGCUGUGGCUCCACAACUGUCGUCUGUCUCGUCUCCCCGCCCCCGUACAAGACAUUGUGUUUUAUUGUCACUUGGACUGUAUCUGAAGUAGGACCAUAAAUCAUCCCUCUUUUUUCGGCCACCGCUGCUGUGCCUGCCGCCACGGUGUGUGUGUGUGUGUGCGCGCCUCGUCCACCUGCCGCUCUGUGUAUGUGUAUGAGUGUGUGCGCGCAGCUGUGCGCGAGCGAGGCUUUUGGUGCGUGGGUCUUGGGGGCGUGAUUGUUAGGACAAAAAAAAAGCAUGUUUUGAAACUUUGUUCGUCCACCUAAUAACAAUUUAGUCUCGUCUCGUUCUCGUCUGACGAAAAUGAAUACAAUUUUCGUCACAUUUUAGUCUUUACAGAGCUGUGGUGACGUUCGUCUUAGUCUCAUUUUCGUCAAGGAAAAAAGGGGUCUGACGUCGUCAUUUAAGUUUUCGUCCUGCCUGACGAAAACAACACUGAUGGAGGUGUGAGACAGCUGUGCAUAUGUCAUUAUCCAAUAAUCUGUUUUUAUAAAGUUCGCCAACACAGACUCUUUACCAGCCGUGUUAUUGCACAUAUAUGUGGAGUCAGUGCAGUCUGCAUCAGUCUCAGGGGAGACGGUGAUGUUUACACAGACUCACCACAGUUUCUCUCCUGUGAGCGACUCCGUGAUUCUGCUAAUUGGUGCAGCUAUGAAUGGGCCUGCCACGCUGUGUGUGUGUGUCUGCGUGUGCAGGUUUCAGUCUCGGUGUGUGUACAGGGCGGAGGUUGACAGCUGUUGCCAUGAAGACCGUUUCUACCAGAGCUUUGGGAGAUGUUCCUCUGUGUGUUGUUAGUCUCAGUUCAAGAGGGCUGACACCAUCUGUAUUUCUAAAUCCAGCUGACACAGAUCACAGCCUGCAGGAUACGACUCUCUGACACAAACAACACAGUUUUUUCCUUUUACAAGUCGGACAAAUAAGAAAGAUAGAGAGCGGAGGUGGGGAGUAGACAGCGUGGAGUAGGUCAUGCAGUGAAGGGUCGUGGCGAGGAGUCAAACCAGCGACUGCUGCGAUGGGGACAACAACCUCUGUACGUGGGUUUUGUGUUUUUUUUGGCAAAGACGGUGUGAGUGACAAGUUUUUCCAGCCCUAACCUGAAUGUUUCACAAAUUUACUUAAUUCACGCACUCAAUCCGUGUCACUUCAUCGUCACGCUUGCGUCACAUCUUUGGAUCGUGAGGGAGAAGCUGAAGAGAACCACUGAAUGCACAGGGAUAGGAUGUAACGUCCACGCUAACGGCUAAAACAUUGUUUAAUUUAGCUGCAAAGUUAGACCGUUCAGAAUGAAGGCUAAAACAUACAGGAUCCGUACUGAACGCGUAACAUAAGCGUCGCGUAUCAUGCAGCAAAUAGGUUCCCAUUCUAAUCCAUUCAGCAUCGCAUACAGGACGCGUAUACAGCUCCGUCGCAGCUCUGUCCGAAGUGCAUUGAGCGCGGCGCUGCUAAAGAUACGCACCAAGUCUAUUUUCGCUGCUCUACGCUUCCAACACGUGUCAAUCCACACAGAGAUGAUCGUUCCAGACAUGAUGUCAAGCACGAAAAACAUGCAUUUCAUCUGGUAAAUUUCAAAAUAAAACACCAUAUGCAGAUCCCGACUGUGUAUCAGUUCAUGUAGAUGAGAAAUACUUCCUGGUUCUGGAUUUAUCAGUAACACAGAACAAUCUGAUGAUCAGUCCCUGAUCCAUGUGGACCCCAACAGGAUUUAACUGCUAACUCUGUCUGAAGGUAACAGCACAGCAUAAAGGAACAUAGUUUACUUUGUUAGACACGAGUAAACCUGCUAAAAAACAAAACUUUUUGACACACAGUAGAGACUCAACAGUCACUGAAUUAAAUCCAAAUUAUCAGGAAAUCGACCGCAGAAAGGAAAAACAACCUGUUGUGAGGAUGUUGUUUCCUCUAAACUGAGCCCAGCUGACCGGAGCUGCACUACGCUGCUGCCACGCUCCAAACACACGCGCUCGAAUCCUCAAUAUAGAUCCUGUAUGUUUUCUUCUUCUGCUGCCAGCCUCAAGUGGACACUCGAGGAACUGCAGGUUUUGGUACUUCUUCACUGGCUUCAUCUCUUAAGAUCAGAGGUUGCUGCUUGAUGAAUGCCGAGGUUUUUGCUUGACUGUAAUCUGCUGUUCGUGGUGUCAAGGUGUAGAGAUCGGGAACCUGAGAGGUUUGCAUUUCCUGUACAGCAAACAUCUUCUGUUAGACGUUAAAACCACCCCAGCAGGGUUAAACCUCCCUCGAUCUACUCCAUGGACCUGAUAUACACCAUUUCCUAAAAGUGUUCACUCUGUGGCGGUCAGCGGUGUCUCCUCCCCGUGGAGCUGGAAGAUGCUUCAUGUGUUUCCACCUUUCGUGUUCCUCGUUGAUGAAUUAUUGACCUUUUCUUUCUCCAGCGCUCGCUCUGCUCUGCGUCACAUCGGCAAUAACCUGAAGCAACAACACUGCUGGAGCCAUAAAGGGCAAGAACUGAAGGUAAAUGAAAAGAAAUAAAUUUGAGGAAAUGGAGUUAUAAAGGACAGAACCGUAAAACUUCCUUGAGUCUGUGAGGUUUUUCAUCUCGGGGGUGUAAUGUUCUUAAAAUUUGGAGGACAAAAGUGGCAUUUUUUUUUAGAAAUGACUGUCUUUAAUACUAAAACUAAUCAUGAUUUUAAUGGUAGUGAACGACUUUACACCCCUGCUUCUCAUAGAGGUGAUAAACUCGGCCCUGAUUUGCAGUUCCCGUGUCAACUGUAGAUGUCAGGCGUUGACUUUUCAGUCGGCUAGUUGGGGAGGCCGCUGUCAAAACCAGCAGCGGUUAGGACAUCACGCAGCACAGGCCGGCCCUCGCUGUCAGGCUGAACCCCGGCUGUCGAAAACCAUCAGGAGAACAGGGGCCGUGCAGCCGUGACACCCGCCGAUCUUUCCUCGCACUUCCUUAAAGCAUCGAACCACAUCCACGGGGUGACAUGGAAAGAGGAAAUCCUUUCCAUUCAGGGUCUCGGCUCAGACUUCCCUGAUCUGCUGUCACCUCCUGACUGUCAGCACAUUCAGAUGACACGGGUCGUCUCAGGACAGCGCUAACAGUCAGGAUUUCCCUGAAAAUGUGGACUGAGAAGGAGCUGAAUGUCUGAUUUGUUUAGCGUUGAGCUCUUCAAAGCGGCUUCAGCUCUGACGGUCCCAGGAGGAAACUCUAAUUGGAGCAUCGGUGAAAGACGUAACAACACAGAGUGAAAUGUUGAAAAUCUGCAUUAAAAUCAGAGCGUGCUCAGCUGUUGGCGUACACAGAAGUUUCCUCUGCUGCACAGUCGAAUAAAAGGAAAACAGCUCAUUAAGGUGAGUGUUGUGAAGACGACGGUCAUUUCUAAAGACUUGAAUUUUGUUUGCCUGGUUUAGCUUCAUCCUAAACUUUGAUUUUUCUUUUAAACAAACCAGAAUUGAUCUGUUACAGCCUUCGUGCUCAAACAUACAGCCCAGCCUGGAUUACAAAAUCUGAAGAUGAAGAAAAGUUGUUCAAAUUCCCAACCCAAACCCUCACAAACUCAACUUUGCGG